rnacentral:rRNA from 1 species
CCCUUAGAUGUUCUGGGCCGCACGCGCGCUACACUGACGGAGUCAACGAGUUGUCCUGCAUCGGAAGGUGUGGGUAAUCUUUUGAAACUUCGUCGUGCUGGGGAUAGAUCUUUGCAAUUUUCGAUCUUGAACGAGGAAUUCCUAGUAAGCGUGAUUCAUCAGAUCGCGUUGAUUACGUCCCUGCCCUUUGUACACACCGCCCGUCGCUACUACCGAUUGAAUGGUUUAGUGAGGCCUCGGGACUGGCGCGCUCGAGUAGCAAUACACCUGUGCGCCGGGAACUUGGUCAAACUUGAUCAUUUAGAGGAAGUAAAAGUCGUAACA